GUAGCUUGCUACCUAACCUAGCGGCGGACGGGUGAGUAAUACUUAGGAAUCUGCCUAUUAAUGGGGGACAACAUCUCGAAAGGGAUGCUAAUACCGCAUACGCCCUACGGGGGAAAGCAGGGGAUCACUUGUGACCUUGCGUUAAUAGAUGAGCCUAAGUCGGAUUAGCUAGUUGGUGGGGUAAAGGCCUACCAAGGCGACGAUCUGUAGCGGGUCUGAGAGGAUGAUCCGCCACACUGGGACUGAGACACGGCCCAGACUCCUACGGGAGGCAGCAGUGGGGAAUAUUGGACAAUGGGGGGAACCCUGAUCCAGCCAUGCCGCGUGUGUGAAGAAGGCCUUAUGGUUGUAAAGCACUUUAAGCGAGGAGGAGGCUCUCUUGGUUAAUACCCAAGAAGAGUGGACGUUACUCGCAGAAUAAGCACCGGCUAACUCUGUGCCAGCAGCCGCGGUAAUACAGAGGGUGCGAGCGUUAAUCGGAUUUACUGGGCGUAAAGCGUGCGUAGGCGGCUUUUUAAGUCGGAUGUGAAAUCCCCGAGCUUAACUUGGGAAUUGCAUUCGAUACUGGGAAGCUAGAGUAUGGGAGAGGAUGGUAGAAUUCCAGGUGUAGCGGUGAAAUGCGUAGAGAUCUGGAGGAAUACCGAUGGCGAAGGCAGCCAUCUGGCCUAAUACUGACGCUGAGGUACGAAAGCAUGGGGAGCAAACAGGAUUAGAUACCCUGGUAGUCCAUGCCGUAAACGAUGUCUACUAGCCGUUGGGGCCUUUGAGGCUUUAGUGGCGCAGCUAACGCGAUA
rnacentral:rRNA from 1 species